UAGCAAUGAUGAAAAGUUUUACUACUGACCUUUUUGUAACUAUGAACUUUUCUACACUUGGCCUGAACUCA
rnacentral:snoRNA from 1 species